UUGGUUAAUAGAUGAUGCAUAACAGGGAAUAUCUUCAAAUUAUCCUUAAAUGAAUGAUAGAACAGCUCAACAACUUCAAAACUUGAUAUUGCAUGGACAGAAUAGAGGAAAUAAGGUAGAAGAAGAAAGAUAUGACUUAAAGAGUCUCACCCCAAGCCUAGGCUAGUAUCUAACCAUCCACCCUAGCCUCUCACCAGGAACAAAAUCUCAUUGCAGCUCUGUUUCUCGCAGAAGAAAGGUAUAAACUCAAUUCCAUUCAAAUUCUUAACUUUUUUAAAAUUCUUACAUGAAACCCUUUUAUUGAGUAGUUGGGAGAGUUCUAGACUUUCAUGGACUUUCUCUUAGACUUGAUGACCUUUACAUUUCCAAGGACUUACAUUGGGACUCUUUUCAAGAUGUUAAAUGAACUGUACAUUUUCAAGGUCUUUACAACUAACAAUGAAACUAACCUAUUGACAUCCCCAAGACUUCACAACUUUAGAGGACUAGAUACAAGUAACUGGUAAAUUCGUAUGAGCCACUUAUCCCUCAUAUAUGGGCUUUGAAA